rnacentral:rRNA from 1 species
CAGUCGCCGCGGUAAUACGAAGGGGGCUAGCGUUGCUCGGAAUUACUGGGCGUAAAGGGAGCGUAGGCGGAUCGUUAAGUUGGGGGUGAAAGCCCGGGGCUCAACCUCGGAAUUGCUUUCAAUACUGGCGAUCUUGAGUAUGGAAGAGGUAUGUGGAACUCCGAGUGUAGAGGUGAAAUUCGUAGAUAUGCGGAGGAACACCGAUGGCGAAGGCAAUCCCCUGGACCUGUACUGACGCUCAUGCACGAAAGCGUGGGGAGCAAACAGGAUUAGAUACCCGAGUAGUCCCUGUCUCUUAUAC